GACGAACGCUGGCGGCGUGCCUAAUACAUGCAAGUAGAACGCACAGUUUAUACCGUAGCUUGCUACACCAUAGACUGUGAGUUGCGAACGGGUGAGUAACGCGUAGGUAACUUGCCGGGUAGCGGGGGAUAACUAUUGGAAAGGAUAGCUAAUACCGCAUAAUAUUAAUUAUUGCAUGAUAAUUAAUUGAAAGGUGCAAUUGCACCACUACCAGAUGGACCUGCGUUGUAUUAGCUAGUAGGUGAGGUAACGGCUCACCUAGGCGACGAUACAUAGCCGACCUGAGAGGGGGAUCGGCCCCACUGGGACUUGGACACGGCCCAGACUCCUACGGGAGGCAGCAGUAGGGAAUCUUCGGCAAUGGACGAAAGUCUGACCGAGCAACGCCGCGUGAGUGAAGAAGGUUGUCGGAUCGUAAAGCUCUGUUGUAAGAGAAGAACGGGUGUGAGAGUGGAAAGUUCACACUGUGACGGUAUCUUACCAGAAAGGGACGGCUAACUACGUG
rnacentral:rRNA from 1 species